ensembl:lncRNA
UUAAUAUGAAGUCUGUGUGUUGAACUAGUCCACUGUUCACUAAAGGAGACCCGAGUGUAGAACCGCACGUGGUAAUCGCAGUCCCGAGGCCGUCGCAGCGACCGUCGUCCCAGCGACCACGGCGAGAUAAAAAGGAAUUACUCCUCGUCAAAUUGUGUGCACUCGAAAAGAUAAGACAACGCAAACAAUAUUUACAACAACACAGAAAACAUCUCGAGACCGGACUCGAGUCCCGCAGCUCUAGAAGUCGAUAUCAAAAUAAAAUAGGAACGCCGUUAUCUUCACUGUCCAAAUGAACUAUGAAGACUAGUCGGGGCUGUGAAAAAAAUACAGCAAGGCAGACAGUCAAUAAAGCAACUACAUUUAUUUUGUAGGUGUGAAAAUAUUUCAGACAAGAUCAAACCGAUUCAAUGGUCAUCUGCACAAGGUGAUGGAAAAAAAGCUUUUUACCCCCCUAUGUUUUAACAGGCCACUGGCACUGAGUAGAGGUGUGUGCACGAUCGCCUUUAAAUUCCUAUUCCCGGGACCGUCCUGAAACACCUCCAGGUACUGUACUGAACUGACUCCAGGUACUGUACUGAACUGACUCCAGGUACUGUACUGAAACACCUCCUGGAUGCUGCUGUAGACAUCCUCCUGCCAUCAUUAAACUAUAAGGCGUUUCUGUGACGUGCUGCGCUCCCAGUUAGAGGAGAUGACCCGUUGAGUGGUCUUAAUAAAACAAAACAAAACCUCUAAUACAAACGCAAGACUCUUCAUCGAUCUUCGUUUCCUUUUCUAAAACAUUUACAGCGUCUAGCAUUGAAGCGCUCACUGCAGACUCACCACCUCCGGGUAAUAUCCCCAGACCCCGAGCACUGGGGAAGAUCAGUGAAGGCCUCGUUCAUAAUUGAUGGUGGAACCAGAGGAGCUGUUUUUCAGGAUUAUUACGAGAGCCGAGUCCAUUCCCACGUGUGCGAAGAGAGAAAUUCACGGCUCAAAGUUUCAUUCAACAUUACACACACAUCUAAGAGCUGAACCAGGCCCUGGGGAGUGUUCUUUAUUGAAACGCUAAAGGCCUUGAGAAGAUUAUUUUGUGGACCAGGACAGGUGCAUCAAACGCCGAACAGAAUAAUAAUCGUCCUCCAGCAGGGUUGUGUCUAUAAAACAGCAGUGCCGCGUCGCAUCGCCAUUCUGCUCACCGUUGUCGCUGUAGCUGUUUAAAAAAGGACAAGUAACGCUCACGAUCAACGAGCGGAUAGAUUUUCUUUGACGUGACUCACAUGGAGCUUAAUUUGCAUUUAAACGUGUGUCGCGUGCCCUCGCUCGUCCCCUCGCGGAUGAACUAUUGAGCGUAAGGUACCGCGAGUUUAUAAUAGUGGCGAUAAGUACACAUAUCGUCGAGUUCACACUUUGUCAGACGAAGUUAAAAUACAACACGGAUUGGUUGAGCGGUUUCGGAAAAAAAAACAACAUAAAGAAACCUUCGAAGAAGCUGCGUUUAACGUAGAUCGCAGCGGAGUUACGAAAUGCAAGUUUACGCUAACUAUCGGCGACAAGACUGACCAUCACUGUGGGUAAAUAAAUCAAAACAAAUCUGCAGCAGUAAAACAUGAUUAGUCGUGUAGUCAAAUUGUGACGUCGCCGCGUACAUGGUCCGAAAAAGAGCGCAGAAAAGAAAAGAAAAGAGGGGAAAAGCCUGACCUACAGUUACCACACUCCCGAAGAUCGCUGUCUGGAAGAAAAGCCAUUCUAGCCAGAGCUGUUAUGAGAACUCUUCCGUAACAUGACCAAUCAAACGGGCUGCACUAUUUCUAGCUCCGCCCCCCACGUCCCUGUUCGGCUUUUCAGCACUUGAUUACAGUAGAUCUCACUAAACGAUGCAAAUAACAGUGAAGAGAGUUUUACCUUGUCAUGUCAUAGUAAUAUUUGUGAUACUUUUUAGUCUUUCUCAUCGGUGCGUAAAAUCUCCCUCGGGUAUAUUGUAUUUAACCAUAGUCUAAGGUACAUGGUGAAUUAUUUAAUGUUUCAUCUGAGCUUUUUUAGUAGCGACGUAACGAGUAUGAAUACACCGUUGGAGAAUGAGCAGGUAAUCGUGUUCUAAACUGAUACAAACACUCAGUACGUUUACAUGGACCACGAUAAUCCGAUAUUAAUCCGAUUGAGACGAUAUUCUGAUUGAGAAACUAGCAUGUGAACAGAGAUUACUGACGACCUUAAUCUGAUUAAAGUCACACUCGGAGUAAACACAGAUGGAAUUACGUCAUGUGGCGUAUUCCUGUUUUAUUCACGUUAUCGACGUGCGUUACAGACGCGUACACGCCUUAAUCACACUAUUAACGUCGUGCGAGAGUUUUCACCGUAUUGUGCGACAGGACACGUACACACACGGCAGCGCUCGAGCGUUUUACGGCGAACAAGAGAACGCGUCCCAAACCGCGUACUUACGCGCGGUGUAGUAGGCGAGAUGCAUGUAUUUAUGUAAGUACGCGGUUCGGGACGCAGCCCACGGCUUCAAUCGGUCGUCUGUUUGCACGUACAGCGCGACUAAUAAUCAACCGCACUUGAAGCUUUCAUAAAAAAAUUAUAAAUGAAACACCCGAAACUGUAUAUGGUACCAUAACGAAGAUGAACUGUAUGUCGAUAGGUGAAAUUCUGGAGGGAUGACGGACAUAUAUGUAUAUUUAAUAAUAAUAAUAAUAAUAAUAAUAAUAA